AUGAAGAUGGCGCAGAAGGCGAAGAAGAUGACGGUGUGGACGAACAUGGCGAUGCCGUUGGUCUGCAUGCUGUGGAACUCGGGCCGGCCGCGGCCCCCGCCGCCGGGGAUCUCGCAGAUCAGCCCCGGCAGCAUCACCACGAAGAAGGCCGUCGCGAUCAGCACCGGGCCCCAGUCGCCCGACAUGUUCGUCCGAUCAACGGAUGUUGGCCGGACGAUGACGACGACGGUGAUGACAGUGUGGCGUCUGGCGUGA
rnacentral:rRNA from 1 species